GGGUUGUGAGGUUAAGCGACUAAGCGUACACGGUGGAUGCCCUGGCAGUCAGAGGCGAUGAAGGACGUGCUAAUCUGCGAUAAGCGUCGGUAAGGUGAUAUGAACCGUUAUAACCGGCGAUUUCCGAAUGGGGAAACCCAGUGUGAUUCGUCACACUAUCAUUAACUGAAUCCAUAGGUUAAUGAGGCGAACCGGGGGAACUGAAACAUCUAAGUACCCCGAGGAAAAGAAAUCAACCGAGAUUCCCCCAGUAGCGGCGAGCGAACGGGGAGGAGCCCAGAGCCUGAAUCAGUGUGUGUGUUAGUGGAAGCGUCUGGAAAGGCGCGCGAUACAGGGUGACAGCCCCGUACACAAAAAUGCACAUGCUGUGAGCUCGAUGAGUAGGGCGGGACACGUGGUAUCCUGUCUGAAUAUGGGGGGACCAUCCUCCAAGGCUAAAUACUCCUGACUGACCGAUAGUGAACCAGUACCGUGAGGGAAAGGCGAAAAGAACCCCGGCGAGGGGAGUGAAAAAGAACCUGAAACCGUGUACGUACAAGCAGUGGGAGCACAGAGCAAUCUGUGUGACUGCGUACCUUUUGUAUAAUGGGUCAGCGACUUAUAUUCUGUAGCAAGGUUAACCGAAUAGGGGAGCCGAAGGGAAACCGAGUCUUAACUGGGCGUUAAGUUGCAGGGUAUAGACCCGAAACCCGGUGAUCUAGCCAUGGGCAGGUUGAAGGUUGGGUAACACUAACUGGAGGACCGAACCGACUAAUGUUGAAAAAUUAGCGGAUGACUUGUGGCUGGGGGUGAAAGGCCAAUCAAACCGGGAGAUAGCUGGUUCUCCCCGAAAGCUAUUUAGGUAGCGCCUCGUGAAUUCAUCUCCGGGGGUAGAGCACUGUUUCGGCAAGGGGGUCAUCCCGACUUACCAACCCGAUGCAAACUGCGAAUACCGGAGAAUGUUAUCACGGGAGACACACGGCGGGUGCUAACGUCCGUCGUGAAGAGGGAAACAACCCAGACCGCCAGCUAAGGUCCCAAAGUCAUGGUUAAGUGGGAAACGAUGUGGGAAGGCCCAGACAGCCAGGAUGUUGGCUUAGAAGCAGCCAUCAUUUAAAGAAAGCGUAAUAGCUCACUGGUCGAGUCGGCCUGCGCGGAAGAUGUAACGGGGCUAAACCAUGCACCGAAGCUGCGGCAGCGACGCUUAUGCGUUGUUGGGUAGGGGAGCGUUCUGUAAGCCUGUGAAGGUGUACUGUGAGGUAUGCUGGAGGUAUCAGAAGUGCGAAUGCUGACAUAAGUAACGAUAAAGCGGGUGAAAAGCCCGCUCGCCGGAAGACCAAGGGUUCCUGUCCAACGUUAAUCGGGGCAGGGUGAGUCGACCCCUAAGGCGAGGCCGAAAGGCGUAGUCGAUGGGAAACAGGUUAAUAUUCCUGUACUUGGUGUUACUGCGAAGGGGGGACGGAGAAGGCUAUGUUGGCCGGGCGACGGUUGUCCCGGUUUAAGCGUGUAGGCUGGUUUUCCAGGCAAAUCCGGAAAAUCAAGGCUGAGGCGUGAUGACGAGGCACUACGGUGCUGAAGCAACAAAUGCCCUGCUUCCAGGAAAAGCCUCUAAGCAUCAGGUAACAUCAAAUCGUACCCCAAACCGACACAGGUGGUCAGGUAGAGAAUACCAAGGCGCUUGAGAGAACUCGGGUGAAGGAACUAGGCAAAAUGGUGCCGUAACUUCGGGAGAAGGCACGCUGAUAUGUAGGUGAAGUCCCUCGCGGAUGGAGCUGAAAUCAGUCGAAGAUACCAGCUGGCUGCAACUGUUUAUUAAAAACACAGCACUGUGCAAACACGAAAGUGGACGUAUACGGUGUGACGCCUGCCCGGUGCCGGAAGGUUAAUUGAUGGGGUCAGCGCAAGCGAAGCUCUUGAUCGAAGCCCCGGUAAACGGCGGCCGUAACUAUAACGGUCCUAAGGUAGCGAAAUUCCUUGUCGGGUAAGUUCCGACCUGCACGAAUGGCGUAAUGAUGGCCAGGCUGUCUCCACCCGAGACUCAGUGAAAUUGAACUCGCUGUGAAGAUGCAGUGUACCCGCGGCAAGACGGAAAGACCCCGUGAACCUUUACUAUAGCUUGACACUGAACAUUGAGCCUUGAUGUGUAGGAUAGGUGGGAGGCUUUGAAGUGUGGACGCCAGUCUGCAUGGAGCCGACCUUGAAAUACCACCCUUUAAUGUUUGAUGUUCUAAC
rnacentral:rRNA from 1 species